rnacentral:rRNA from 1 species
AUUGAACGCUGGCGGCAGGCCUAACACAUGCAAGUCGAGCGGAUGAGAGGAGCUUGCUUCUCGAUUCAGCGGCGGACGGGUGAGUAAUGCCUAGGAAUCUGCCUGGUAGUGGGGGACAACGUUUCGAAAGGAACGCUAAUACCGCAUACGUCCUACGGGAGAAAGCAGGGGACCUUCGGGCCUUGCGCUAUCAGAUGAGCCUAGGUCGGAUUAGCUAGUUGGUGAGGUAAUGGCUCACCAAGGCGACGAUCCGUAACUGGUCUGAGAGGAUGAUCAGUCCCACUGGAACUGAGACACGGUCCAGACUCCUACGGGAGGCAGCAGUGGGGAAUAUUGGACAAUGGGCGAAAGCCUGAUCCAGCCAUGCCGCGUGUGUGAAGAAGGUCUUCGGAUUGUAAAGCACUUUAAGUUGGGAGGAAGGGUUGUAGAUUAAUACUCUGCAAUUUUGACGUUACCGACAGAAUAAGCACCGGCUAACUCUGUGCCAGCAGCCGCCGUAA